CCUACGGGGGGCAGCAGUGGGGAAUAUUGCACAAUGGGGGAAACCCUGAUGCAGCGACGCCGCGUGAGUGAGGAAGUAUUUCGGUAUGUAAAGCUCUAUCAGCAGGGAAGAAAAUGACGGUACCUGACUAAGAAGCCCCGGCUAACUACGUGCCAGCAGCCGCGGUAAUACGUAGGGGGCAAGCGUUAUCCGGAUUUACUGGGUGUAAAGGGAACGCAGACGGCAGCUUAAGUCUGAAGUGAAAUGCCGGGGCUUAACCGGGGAAAUGCAUUGGAAACUGUGCAACUUGAGUGCAGAAGAGGAAAGUGGAAUUCCUAGUGUAGCGGUGAAAUGCGUAGAUAUAAGGAGGAACACCAGUGGUGAAGGCGGCUCUCUGGUCUGUAACUGACGCUGAGGUUCGAAAGCGUGGGUAGCAAACAGGAUUAGAUACCCGCGUAGUC
rnacentral:rRNA from 1 species